rnacentral:rRNA from 1 species
UACGUAGGGACCAAGCGUUGUUCGGAUUCAUUGGGCGUAAAGGGUGCGUAGGCGGUCUGCUAAGUUUGAUGUGAAAUCCCGGGGCUCAACCCUGGAAUGGCAUUGAAUACUGGCGGACUAGAGUACCGGAGAGGAAACUGGAAUUUACGGUGUAGCAGUGAAAUGCGUAGAGAUCGUAAGGAAGACCAGUGGCGAAGGCGAGUCUCUGGGCAGCAACUGACGCUGAGGCACGAAGGCCAGGGGAGCAAACGGG